AGUGAACGCUGGCGGUAGGCCUAACACAUGCAAGUCGAACGGCAGCACAGUAAGAGCUUGCUCUUACGGGUGGCGAGUGGCGGACGGGUGAGGAAUACAUCGGAAUCUACUUUUUCGUGGGGGAUAACGUAGGGAAACUUACGCUAAUACCGCAUACGACCUACGGGUGAAAGCAGGGGAUCUUCGGACCUUGCGCGAUUGAAUGAGCCGAUGUCGGAUUAGCUAGUUGGCGGGGUAAAGGCCCACCAAGGCGACGAUCCGUAGCUGGUCUGAGAGGAUGAUCAGCCACACUGGAACUGAGACACGGUCCAGACUCCUACGGGAGGCAGCAGUGGGGAAUAUUGGACAAAGGGCACAAGCCUGAUCCAGCCAUACCGCGUGGGUGAAGAAGGCCUUCGGGUUGUAAAGCCCUUUUGUUGGGAAAGAAAAGCAGCAGGUUAAUACCCCGCUGUUCUGACGGUACCCAAAGAAUAAGCACCGGCUAACUUCGUG
rnacentral:rRNA from 1 species